UACGGGGGGGGCAAGCGUUGUUCGGAAUUACUGGGCGUAAAGGGCUCGUAGGCGGCCAACUAAGUCGGACGUGAAAUCCCUCGGCUCAACCGGGGAACUGCGUCCGAUACUGGAUGGCUUGAGUUCGGGAGAGGGAUGCGGAAUUCCAGGUGUAGCGGUGAAAUGCGUAGAUAUCUGGAGGAACACCGGUGGCGAAGGCGGCAUCCUGGACCGAUACUGACGCUGAGGAGCGAAAGCGUGGGGAGCGAACAGG
rnacentral:rRNA from 1 species